rnacentral:rRNA from 1 species
AGUCGAGCGAUGAACACCUUCGGGUGUGAAUUAGCGGCGAACGGGUGAGGAACACGUGAAGAAUCUGCCUUCAACUCUGGGAUAACUCCGGGAAACCGGGGCUAAUACCGGAUAUGAGCCUUGAUCGCAUGAUCGGGGCUGGAAAGUUUUUCGGUUGAAGAUGACUUCGCGGCCUAUCAGCUUGUUGGUGAGGUAAUGGCUCACCAAGGCGACGACGGGUAGCCGGCCUGAGAGGGCGACCGGCCACACUGGGACUGAGACACGGCCCAGACUCCUACGGGAGGCAGCAGUGGGGAAUAUUGGGCAAUGGAGGAAACUCUGACCCAGCGACGCCGCGUGAGGGAUGAAGGCCUUCGGGUUGUAAACCUCUUUCAGUAGGGAAGAAGCGAAAGUGACGGUACCUACAGAAGAAGCACCGGCUAACUAUGUGCCAGCAGCCGCGGUAAUACAUAGGGUGCAAGCGUUGUCCGGAAUUAUUGGGCGUAAAGAGCUCGUAGGUGGUUCGAUACGUCGGAUGUGAAAAUCAGGGGCUCAACCCCUGACCUGCAUCCGAUACGGUCGAGCUAGAGUUUGGUAGGGGAGACUGGAAUUCCUGGUGUAGCGGUGGAAUGCGCAGAUAUCAGGAGGAACACCGAUGGCGAAGGCAGGUCUCUGGGCCAAUACUGACACUGAGGAGCGAAAGCGUGGGGAGCGAACAGGAUUAGAUACCCUGGUAGUCCACGCCGUAAACGGUGGGCGCUAGUUGUGCGAACCUUCCACGGUUUGUGCGACGCAGCUAACGCAUUAAGCGCCCCGCCUGGGGAGUACGAUCGCAAGAUUAAAACUCAAAGGAAUUGACGGGGCCCCGCACA